GCUGCACUCCAGACUGGAUGACAGAGAGAGACUCCAUCUCAAAAAAAACAAACAAACAAAAAAAAAAACAGUAUAGCUCAAAAAGAUAACCAGAAAAGAUCAAAAGCAAACAAUUCGACAACAAGAAAAUUUGGCAACAGAAAUAUGCAUUUUAUACACUCUACUGCCCAAGAAUUCACAUGUCUAACAUAAUAAUAAAAUAUUAAAAAAGGAAGUCUGUAUUCGAGGGGGAAUGUCAUGCUGGAAUUAGCACAGUGAGCAAAAUGAAUCUCACCCUGAAGCCUAUAGAGAAGUCCAUAUGAAUUCACUUUGCAUAGCUAAAUGAUUGCCAGAGAGACAAUAACACUUCACAUACUGAAAGAGAGAAGUGAUGAUUUUAAAGAUCCAAAUUUAAAAUGAAACUUCUCUACAUGGGAUCUUAGAAAUACUGUAGUUAAAUGAAAAAGCAUAUUUAGAGAAAAUGCAAUCAUUGUCAAUUCUCUUUGUGAUUUGAAUAGUUAAUAUUUCCAUUAAUUUUAUAGGGUUUUAUUUAAACUUUCCAUGAGGAUUGAACAGGUUGAGUUUUUGAAGUGGGACAAACAUGAUAUUACAUAUUUUGGGGGUGCUAAGUUCCUAAACAAUACCCUUUCCCAUUCGGUUUAUCUUGUGCCUUUUUCUACCAAACUGCAGUUUCACCCUCUACAGCCUGUAUUUAUCCCCAUGAUUGCCACUAGACCUGCUUCUUCAAAAGUUGCCCUGACCUGCUUUCUUGCCUGUUCCAGGGGUCAUUUUUAUCAUUUUCCUUUUCUUUGAUGACUUUGCUGCUUUAAUAAUGUUGAUUAGUCCCUUGGAACAUCCUUUUUUCAAUGAGGCUGCUUUUAGAGGAUAGUAAAAAAACUACAUAUUUUAGUCUGUCCAUUAUGAUCCUUUAAAAAAAAGUACUAAAAAUGCAUUGCCUGAAUAAAUUCUGUUGAGUACCAACUCUUACCUUUUACUGUAUCUUAGCACAUUAAAUUUCCUGUCCAUCAAAACAUGCUGGAGCUGAUGCUCAGAAAUAAAGUAUGUACUCUUGGCUGGAUUAAGACAUUCAUUAUUCCACUCAGCUUGUCUGUUUGCUGAGGUUUUGGAUAAUUUUUUUUCCUGUGCUGCAGUUUAGUUUAGUGGCUAGACAAGUUCUGAGUCUUUGGAUUUUUUUAUUAAUGCAUCCAGUUUGGAAAGUUUCAGUGGAUUCCAGUUAAAUUUUGGGUUAAUAUUUAUUUUGGUCCUGGUACAACUUCAGGGGGAUUUAGGUUCAUGAUACUGUUCAUGUAUUUGCCAGGUCAGUCCCUUUCUUUAGACUUCAAUGGGCUUAUGUUUCUUCUAUUUGUAUUAAAUCUAUCUUCUAAAUCCUUUCUGCUCUCAACUUUUGGGUCUUAAAAUUCAAUUCCAUUAUGUCGACUGAUCAGGUAUAUGGCCUAACUUAACCCAUGUGUUUGUAUUUGGUGUGGAUUUUGGACACCACCCUGGGGUGCUGUCAUCCAAGAACCUUUCGUGAUACACAUUUGAUUGAUGGAAAUCACUGACUUCCCCUGAAUAUAUCUUGACAUUGUAGACAUUGUACAAUCUUUCCUAGCAGUUAACAUGCAUCUCAAUCCUCUAAUCUUUUAACAGUGACUCUGCUCUGAGAAUAAAAUUUUCUAAGUGACUGGAGAAUUAUGACUUUGCACAAAUUAGAAAGAUAAUCUUUAAUUUUCAAGCAACUACUGUGAAAUCAAUAAAUAUUACCUAUUUCACUUUUACAUCCUCUGAUGGGGUUAAAAUAUAAGAUGGCUGUCUUAGCUGAUUGUUUUCCCUGUUAGCUACUAGAAAAGAAUAAUUUGAAUUUUAUGAAUAAAAGAGACAAGAAACAUUUUUUCCUGAGGAAGAACAUUUGUUAUUCCUUUUUAAAUAUCUUCAUUUAAAUGAUUAUGUAUUACAAUAAAUGUUAAGUAUGGGUAUAUUAUAAAUAAUACAAUGAUUAAAAAAUUUAUCUCUUGAAUCACAGUGAGUAUGCAACUGGGACAGAAUUGCCAUCCUUUCCCUGUAAGACUGUGAGCUCCUUGAGAAGUGAAGUAACUGGCCCUCCCAUAAAUUCUAGGGAACCAGGCCUCAGUGUUUAUUACUGGAAAUGCACCAGCUUUGUGGAAGUUUCUGGAAAGGAAUGUUGUGGAAUUGGUGAUUAAGUGGAAUAGCUUUCUCUUCUGUCCCCUGGUUCAUUGACUUGAUCUAAGCCCAAGGCAAAAGUAAGAGGAGGUCUCUUAUAAUCUGUCAGCUUCCUUCUCACUUAGGACCUUCCUUAAGGAUUAAAAACUUAACUUUUAAACCAGAGUUCCUCUUUACCUCUCUGCCAGACCCAACUACAUUAAGGGAUUUGACGGGUCACCAAUCCAGGAGGGUUAUGCAUGAGACACUUGGCUUCCACCCACCUAUGGAAUUUAAUUUAUGCCUGGUUGGUUUGAUUUUUUUUUUCCCUCAAUCACCCUCCUUUAACAAAGGCCAGUCAAUGAGCUGAGUUUUGCUGUCUUCUGCUAUUAGGACCAUUUUCUUAAGGUAGCAAUCCAUAGACCAUCACAAUGAAGUGUGUUUGUGUCUAUGAGUGUGUACCUGUGUGUGACAUUCUUUCUUUUCUUUACAGUAUUUUAUGUUUAGCUUGAUCUGUAAUAAAUUAAAGUGGUCAUGCUUUUCUCUAAGGAUGACCUCCUCCAGCUCCACUCAAGAAAGUCUAUUUAUUGGGAAAAUAGUUCCUUAACAGCAGAGAAAGACUAUAUCUUCUUUAUCAAGUUUGUGACAAAAUUAUUACCAGUUUCUCUGAGGUAGGUCUCUCCCCAUGCUCAUUCUUCCUACAUAAUCCUUUUAGAUAAUCUACCCAAAAUAUACUUUUCAUUAUGCCAUUUCCUUAUACUACAACAUACAGUAGUGUUUGUAUUCUGUGGAACUCUAACAGGCAUUUCUCAAAGGCAAGAGUUCCAUGAUUUACUCUCUCUAUAUAUAUCUAUAUCUAUAUAUAGUAUAUGCAUAUAGCAUAUGCAAAUGUAUAUUUACUAUAUAUAUAGUGUGUAUAUAUAUAUGCAGAAAGUUAAAGUCAACAAGCAUCUGUAGUAAGAAGGUCUUUUUUAAUUUAUUCUUCACGAAUGAGCUGCAUAUAUGGCAUGUGAAGUUUAUCAGAGUGACCUAAAUACGGGAUUGGUUUUUAACCAAGCAUACCAAAGAAUAGUAGUCCUGAAAAACAUAACUCUGGAAACUAACUGAUAAUUGCAUUACUUGCUUUCUUAAUCAUUUCAAACACCUCCACCUGCAUUUCAUGGUUCUUCACACUUUUAGACAGGUGUCUAACCAUUAGUCUCAUAAACUAGGCACAUAAAUGUCCAGGGGCAGGUAAAGUUACUGGAGAAGUGUGUGGUGCUCCUGGGUGUAGGAACUCCAGGGAGAAUUAAAGAACUUGUUAAACAAGGUGGCCUUAAUUUGAACCCCUUAAAGUUUCUGGGUUUUGACUGGAACUGGAGAGAUCAGAAGUUGAGGAGAAUGAGGAAAGUAUUGGAACUUUUGGAAAUGGGUGUGCUCAGUCUGUGCGAGUCAGAGUCCUUGAAACUGGGCCUUUUCUACGUCUGAGUCCUAAUGAAGAUUCCAGUUUUCACAGUAGAAGUUAAAGAAAAAAAAUGUCUAGAAAGGAGUGAUUUAGAGAUCUUUCUAGGCCCAUAUUUUUCCCAUCUUAUGUUAAUUGUAAUUGGGUCAGUUAGAAUUUGGUCUGUUAAAUAAAAUGGUUUAAUAUUUUGAACUGUCCACCUAUUCUUACAUACCAUUUAGUAGUGGACUCAGAUGCCUAAAUUAUCUACCAGGUUUUUUCUGGCUCAAUAAUGCAACACUCCUAUAGUCAGAAAACAAUUAUUGUAAUAAUUUUAAUCAAUGCCAGAAAAUUUAAUACCUGAAUAUGAUGUAAAUGUUUUUUAUUGCAUUUAUGUGUUAGUUGCUUCCCUCUUUUCCACUGAGCUGUAGCUUCUUAAGGUCAGUGAUCAUAUUUUACAUCUAUUCUAUACUCUCCAUAGCUCUCAGUCAGGGUACUAAAUGAUUAAUGUGUCAUAUAGGCUGAUUGUCUUAUUGACCAAUUACAUAUCAAUUAAAUUAAGUUGCCAGCAGUCAUAUUUCUGGCAACAAUUAUAGGACAGGAUAAUCUCUGAGGUUUUAUAUGUAUUGUGAAUUUAUUUCCAUCCUCAUUUGGACACCCUAGUGACUGAAACACAACUGACCCCCAUGGACCUACAAAGACACCUCAGUCCAUUCCUUAUUGAUGUCUCUGACUACUCCAUUCUCCAUUUAUCACCUUUUUUUCACUCCAUUGAUCUUUCCUCUUCUGUCCAAUCAAAUGUACAAUGUUUACAUACCAACCAACAUGUUAUCAUUGCAAAACAUGCAAGAAUAACAGCACAAAUAUAAUUGACAUUCUACCAUGAAGUAAGGGCAAAUAUUGUCUUCUCUAUCCUCGUAGUCAAAAGAAUACUAGAUUUGUUAGAUUUUAUCAAUUAUUUAUUCAUUAAACCAGCAUUCAUGGAGAACGUAA